CUGAGAGGAGCUUGGGAAGCUGCUCUUAAGAAUUUCUUGUCUGCUGACUCUCAGCUAAUAUCAAGGCCCAGCAAUGAUGGAGAAGUCAGAGGAGAAAGUCUCCCCUCCCCUUCAUCCUGCUAUCUCUCCCCAGUGUCUGGUUUUAUGUGAUAGUGACAUCGGGACUUAGAAACACUGGGGAGGAGGAUGAGGAGUUCUCCUUUACUGUUCCUCUUCCCCCAUGUCUUUCAGAUCUGUUCUAGCAGUGUGGUUGAUAUAUGAGGCCAAGACUGAGAGGAGGUCGUCACCACAACCUGUGCCUCACUGUAGAUUCAUCAGUGAAUUCAUCAAAAUAACAGCUCAGUAGCGAGGUUUGAUGUAUGAAGAAGCUCUGUUCAUUCUCUGUGGCCUCUGAAAAAGCAGUAAUUCACAUUCUAGAAGUCACAGCUUUCUUAGUAAAGACCCAAUAGGGCAAGUUUGCCUGCAACAAUGUGGAGAAGUGUCUAAGCUGUGAAUCCUGUGAGUGAAAUGGAUCAGCGAAUUUCACCCAUACGCUCUGUGCAUGUCAGCUCUCAUCUUUAUCUCAAGAAUAGUAGGAUGAAUAACUACAGAAGUCCUGAAAAUCCCUUUAAAUGAGCAAAUCAUUUCUAUGGAGCUGUUCUUCAGGAUUUCUGCAGAGAAGAGACAAUGUGGAACAGGCAUGCUCCCAUCCCUCUGAUUCAAAGUAUAUUGGAAGCCAAACUCUCAGAAACCUGACCGAUGUGUGCCAGACUUAGAUGAAAUAUGUAAAGAAAGAGUACAAGAAUUAAUGCACAACUCAAGGCAUGUCAGUGAUAUGCAAAGCAGCACAGAGAAGUAACAUCUGGGAGAGAAUCAAAUGAACUCAUUCCAGAAAUGAAGCUGUUACGGCUGCGUUAGCCCAGGGUUGAGCCCAGGACAGCUGGCUAGCUGAGAGGCAAAGCUAGUCAUCCUGGGAUGAAAUCCAGUCCACUGAAAUCCUACUUUUUUUCACAGACAGCAAAUCAGCCCACAUAUUUUUCUGGACUGCUCUUUAUAAAUCUCUCUAAAUUCAUUAAAGAC
rnacentral:lncRNA from 1 species